AACGAACGCUGGCGGCAUGCCUAACACAUGCAAGUCGAACGGGAUCCUAGCUUGCUAGGUGAGAGUGGCGGACGGGUGAGUAACACGUGGGAAUCUGCCUUUUGGUUCGGGAUAACCGCGGGAAACUGCGGCUAAUACCGAAUGCCCUCGAGAGAGGAAAGAUUUAUCGCCAGAAGAGGAGCCCGCGUCCGAUUAGGUAGUUGGUGGGGUAAAGGCCUACCAAGCCGACGAUCGGUAGCUGGUCUGAGAGGAUGAUCAGCCACACUGGGACUGAGAUACGGCCCAGACUCCUACGGGAGGCAGCAGUGGGGAAUAUUGGACAAUGGGGCGAACCCUGAUCCAGCAAUGCCGCGUGAGUGAUGAAGGCCUUAGGUGUAAAGCU
rnacentral:rRNA from 1 species